rnacentral:rRNA from 1 species
UGGGGAAUAUUGCACAAUGGGCGCAAGCCUGAUGCAGCAACGCCGCGUGAGGGACGACGGCCUUCGGGUUGUAAACCUCUUUUAGUAGGGAAGAAGCGAAAGUGACGGUACCUGCAGAAAAAGCACCGGCUAACUACGUGCCAGCAGCCGCGGUAAUACGUAGGGUGCGAGCGUUGUCCGGAAUUAUUGGGCGUAAAGAGCUCGUAGGCGGUCUGUCGCGUCUGCUGUGAAAACCCGAGGCUCAACCUCGGGCCUGCAGUGGGUACGGGCAGACUAGAGUGCGGUAGGGGAGAAUGGAAUUCCUGGUGUAGCGGUGGAAUGCGCAGAUAUCAGGAGGAACACCGAUGGCGAAGGCAGUUCUCUGGGCCGUAACUGACGCUGAGGAGCGAAAGCGUGGGGAGCGAACAGGAUUAGAUACCCUGGUAGUCCACGCCGUAAACGUUGGGCGCUAGAUGUGGGGACCAUUCCACGGUUUCCGUGUCGCAGCUAACGCAUUAAGCGCCCCGCCUGGGGGAGUACGGCCGCAAGGCU